CGCCGCCGUGCGGGAGAGUCCCGGGGUCGUCAGAGUCCGGGCGCCGAAGGAGCAGCACCUCCCCGUCAAUCUCUCAGGCAACAGGGACCGCACGGUGAUU
rfam:Nocardia asteroides NBRC 15531 DNA, contig: NCAST32.